rnacentral:lncRNA from 1 species
CCGUUUCAAAUUUAGUAUGAACAUGAGUAAAAUAACUAUAAUAAUUUAUGACUGGACUGGAAAUGUGAUCUCCUCUGUGGAUCACACCUGCAAAAUAAUGAUAUAAUGUACUUGAAUCUAGGAAAAAACUUAUAUGUAAAAUUUUAGAUAAGACUAAUACCAAGCUGUGCAUGUCUAGUUGUCCUGCUGAGCUCCAUCUCAGCUGCAAUCUCUGGACCAACUCACUUCUUAGCGAUCAACAAUGAGCGCAGGCAAGUCACUAUGACAACACAGGAAUGUCUCACAACAGAUGCAUCCAAUAAUUCAAACCGGCAGUUAAGCAUCACUAUGUACAUUGUCGAUGAAGACCCUAAUACAGUGUUGCUGAUUCAGAAAAUAGAUAUGCAAAGCCGAUGCUACUAUUUUCAGGUAUAUACACAGUACCAAAUAGAGGUAGGUUCAUCAGUGAAUAUGUGAGUCCUUGAUUGCACUGUCAUCAAAAAAGCUGCUCAUUGCCCAUGUUUGUCUCCCAAUUAGCUACAAACAGACAAUAAGGUCAACUAAAAAUGCACAUUUUCAUUGAGUUAAAAGCAUAGCCUGCAAAAUGAAUCAGAUGCCAAGAUUUCACUAUUCUUUAGUGCAUUGAAGAUCAAUGGAAAACGCAAAUCAGCAAAGGCCUGCAAUCAAGGUAUUUCAUUCAAGUUUGUAGCAUUGUGAUCAGGUCUGCAGUUAUGGUAUUCCAUUCAGGUUUGUAGCAUUGAGAUCAUUGUCGUGUCUUGGUAACCAUCAUGAUGUACAGCCCCGGAGAUGUCAGCCGACAACACCAGCAUCCAUUGGAAAUCUGCAACUAUGUAUCAGCACCUUGUGCACGUGCAUGCCUGUAAGACAACUAACUCAUGGGCUUCUUACUUAAUGUUCCUAAUCGUUCUUCCUUGGACUUCAGUUUGGAAUAUUGACGGCCUAACAAAUCAAAAGCAUUUCAAUCCAUCUCAUCAAUCAGCUUAUGUGCUAGCUCAGAGCGCCCAACCUUUUCAGGUCACUGAUCAGUGGAUGGUGGAUAUAUAAAUCAAAGGCUGGUGUAACUUACACACACUUGGACUCCGGCAUCGCCUUCAGGUCAUGGUGGACACCGUCUGGUCCAGUCCGAUCCCUGACCAAGUCGUUGCUUGGAUUGGCAGGUGGGCUAUGUGAGCGAGUGAUGUGAGGAAGCGGACGACGUGUGCGAGUGCCAACGUGCCCGACAAAUUAACUGACAACUGAAACUUUGAUGAAACUGAUGAACUGAAUUUUCUGAAUCUGAUGAAACUAAAUCUGACGAAACUGAAAAUGUCG